rnacentral:misc_RNA from 1 species
CCCAACUAUCCCUAUUAAUCAUUACAGUGAUCCUAGAAACCAACAAAAUAGAAUCAUUGUCCUAUUUUAUUAUUCCAUGCUAAUGUAUUCAAGCAAAUAAUGCCUGCUUUAAACACUCUAAUUUUUUCAAAGUAAAAAUUCAUUGAAACACCCAAUUAAGGAGGACAUCACAAUUCACCAGAAGGUAAGAAAUUGGCUACACCAGUUCAUACCCCUUAAGGCACGACCAAUGCAUCAAUCCCGAAAUUCAACUACGAGCUUUUUAAUCGCAGCAACCUUAAUAUACGCUAUUGGAGCUGGAAUUACCGCGGCUGCUGGCACCAGACUUGCCCUCCAA